rnacentral:rRNA from 1 species
CCUACGGGAGGCAGCAGUAAGGAAUAUUGGUCAAUGGACGAAAGUCUGAACCAGCCAUCCCGCGUGCAGGAUGAAAGCCCUAUGGGUUGUAAACUGCUUUUAGCAGAGAAGAAAAGCUUUCAUUAAUGAGAGUCUGACGGUAUCUGCAGAAUAAGCACCGGCUAACUCCGUGCCAGCAGCCGCGGUAAUACGGAGGGUGCGAGCGUUAUCGGGAAUAAAGGGGUUUAAAGGGUGGGAUUGCGGCGGAUUAGAAAUCUUGUCGCUUAACGAUAGAAUUGCCAAUGAUACUGGUACUCGUGAAUUGGGUUGAGGUUAGCGGAAUGUGACAUGUAGCGGUGAAAUGCAUAGAUAUGUCAUGGAACACCAAUUGCGAAGGCAGCUAACUGGGCCUUGAUUGACGCUGAGGCACGAAAGCGUGGGUAGCGAACAGGAUUAGAUACCCGAGUAGUC